UACGUAGGGUGCAAGCGUUGUCCGGAAUUAUUGGGCGUAAAGAGCUCGUAGGCGGUCUGUCGCGUCGGCUGUGAAAACCCGGAGCUCAACUCCGGGCCUGCAGUCGAUACGGGCAAACUGGAGUGUUGCAGGGGAGACUGGAAUUCCUGGUGUAGCGGUGAAAUGCGCAGAUAUCAGGAAGAACACCCGUGGCGAAGGCGGCUCUCUGGUACGUGACUGACGCUGAGACGCGAAAGCGUGGGGAGCGAACAGG
rnacentral:rRNA from 1 species